GUGAACGCUGGCGGUAGGCCUAACACAUGCAAGUCGAACGGCAGCACAGUAAGAGCUUGCUCUUACGGGUGGCGAGUGGCGGACGGGUGAGGAAUACAUCGGAAUCUACUUUUUCGUGGGGGAUAACGUAGGGAAACUUACGCUAAUACCGCAUACGACCUACGGGUGAAAGCAGGGGAUCUUCGGACCUUGCGCGAUUGAAUGAGCCGAUGUCGGAUUAGCUAGUUGGCGGGGUAAAGGCCCACCAAGGCGACGAUCCGUAGCUGGUCUGAGAGGAUGAUCAGCCACACUGGAACUGUGACACGGUCCAGACUCCUACGGGAGGCAGCAGUGGGGAAUAUUGGACAAUGGGCGCAAGCCUGAUCCAGCCAUACCGCGUGGGUGAAGAAGGCCUUCGGGUUGUAAAGCCCUUUUGUUGGGAAAGAAAAGCAGCAGGUUAAUACCCCGCUGUUCUGACGGUACCCAAAGAAUAAGCACCGGCUAACUUCGUG
rnacentral:rRNA from 1 species